rnacentral:rRNA from 1 species
UGUAAAGUUCAAGCUCCGAUAUGAGGGCGAAACCGCGAAUGGCUCAUUAAAUCAGUCAUAAUCUACUUGAUUGUUUAAAGUUUAUAUGGAUAACUGUGGUAAUUCUAGAGCUAAUACAUGCACAAAGGGGGCGACUCUUUCACGAGAGAAGCUCUGCGUUUAUUAGACUAUGACCAAUGACUGCCUCGUGCAGUCUAACUCAAGGUGACUCUGAAUAAAUAAUGGGCUAACACCCAUGUUGCCGACCUGACAUUCCAAAUAACCGGCAACGGUUAGUCAGGCGAAUCAAUCGUGUGUCUGCUCUAUCAACUGUGGAUGGUAGGAUAAUUGCCUACCAUGGUGAUGACGGGUAACGGGGAGUUAGGGCUCGACUCCGGAGAACAAGCCUGAGAAACGGCUAGUAGGACUAAGGUCUGCAGCAGGCGCGAAACUUACACAAUGCUAGAUUACAAUUAGCGAUGUAGUGAAGAAAAAUAACGAUGUAUUUCCAUUUAAACAUGGUAGUACAAUUGGAAUGAGACGACUAUAAACCAGUUAGUCGAGUAACAAAUGGAGGGCAAGUCUGGUGCCAGCAGCCGCGGUAAUUCCAGCUCCAUUAGCAUACAUUAAAGUUGUUGCGGUUAAAAAGCUCGUAGUUGAAUUUUAGGCGGGCUCUAUUGGGAUGCAGCCGUUAAGGCUUGCGCGCGCCUACCCGGCCGCGUAUAGCUGGCUGUCAUCGCCCAUUAGGAACCCGCUGUUUCGUCACUUAAUCGAGUGCGAAGCGGGCUGGAACUAUGACGCCUCGCGCGUCUUGUCUCAGCAUGUUUACCUUGAGAAAAUUAGAGUGCUCACAGCAGGCAGUUAGGGUGUAAAAGCCCUUUUAUGCUUGAAUAAUGUUGCAUGGAAUAAUAGAAUACGGCCUCGGUUCUAUUCUGUUGGUCAUAUAGAACAACAAAUAAGUUGGUUAAGGCGACCAAAAGUCUGUUUGCGAGCGUGGCGUUAUGCGAACUCUAUAGAAGUCGUUCUACACUUGCGUCCACUUGUUGCCUGGGGCCUUAAAAUCUCAGCGCCAUACGGGCCUUGCGCAGGCGUCUUUUCUAUCUUGUGAGCCUAGCGUCAUUUAAAGCGCUCCUUACCAGGCUAGCCUUUAAUCAACUGAGGCAAUGGUUAAAAGAAAUAGCUGCGGCGGCAUCAGUACUGCAUCGUGAGAGGUGAAAUUCUUAGACCGAUGCAAGACUAACUGAAGCGAAAGCGUUUGCCGAGGAUAUUUUCAUUAAUCAAGAACGAAAGUUAGAGGUUCGAAGGCGAUCAGAUACCGCCCUAGUUCUAACCAUAAACGUUGCCAACUAGCAAUUGGGUUGCGAUUCCUUUAAUCGAGGCGUAAAAACCCUCGAUCAUUAUGAUCCACCCAGCGGCUCUCGUAGGGAAACCAAAGUGUUUGGGUUCCGGGGGAAGUAUGAUUGCAAAGUUGAAACUUAAAGGAAUUGACGGAAGGGCACCACCAGGAGUGGAGCCUGCGGCUUAAUUUGACUCAACACGGGGAAACUUACUAGAUUAGAACUCUGGAAUGAUUGACAGAUUGAUAGCUCUUUCUUGAUUCAGAGGAUGGUGGUGCAUGGCCGUUCUUGAUUCGUAUUCCGAAACGUCUGCUUAAUUGCGAUAACGAGUGAGACCUCACCCAACUAACUAGUCGUUUGGUGCGCUGUGGGACGCAAAAGUUCCGGUAGGAUUUGUGUAAGCAAUUGCCGGUUCGCCGGUGGAUACUUGCGCUGCUUGCUUGGGAUGUCCUCUGCUCGCCUGCGGACUUCUUAGAGGGAUAAACGGUGCUUUAGCCGUAAGAAACGAGGCAAUAACAGGUCUGUGAUGCCCUUAGAUACUCUAGGCCGCACGCGUGCUACAAUGGCGUGUGCAGAAAGCUUGUUCGAGGUUUGUCUAGAGAGAACUAGUCGUUUGGUUUAGGUUUGGCCGCAAGGUUAGGCUUGGAUCGGCGGAAAAGUGACUCUAGUUAGCAGGCCGAGAGAAACCGUAGCCGAAAGGUUACGGCAAUCAUGAAUACACGCCGUGAUUUGGGAUUGGGGAUUGCAAUUGUUGCCCAUGAACGAGGAAUUCCCAGUAAGCGCAAUUCAUCAUAUUGCGUUGAUUACGUCCCUGCCCUUUGUACACACCGCCCGUCGCUACUACCGAUUGGAAGUUUUAGUGAGGCAUUUGGACCUGCCAUCCAAGUAAGGGGCAACUCUUGCUAGACAGCGGGGAAGUCUGUCGAACUCAAAUUUCUAGAGGAAGUAUAGUCGUAACAAGGUUUCCGU